rnacentral:lncRNA from 1 species
AGUAACACUGGGAAAAGACAACUGACCCAGGGAAUAGAAGGGAGAACACUGAUCUUCCACAGUGCUCACAAGAUCCAGCUCUAGGAAGCAAAUGACUGAGGCAAGAAGAAUGUUUAAAAUGACGGAGGAGAGAAAUGAUCAGUGGAAUCCUGCCAAAGCAGAAGAAAGAAUGUCAGAGCAAGAAGAGAUCCUAAAGCUUCUCCACAGCUUUAGCUGCUACAUUUUCCAAAGGGCACUGAAAGCAGUUCAAUAG